rnacentral:misc_RNA from 1 species
GUACCAUCAAGGAGUUGAUUUUAAAAGUAUAUGGACAUGUUGACGAUUUCAACAUCUUGCUUGAAGAAAUCUUUACUGCUCAAGGACUAAUAUGCAGAUUUAAGCAUGGAUUGCCCCUGAUCUUGGCAUAAAUUUUCAUAUUUGCGAAAGUUAUGUCUUGGAUGAGCAAUUUGUUCAAGCUUUAUGUGCAAACUGCAUUGGCAUAAAGGAUUUAAGGGUAUCUUGUUGUCAUGGACUAGCCAAUUUGCAAAUUGCAUAACCUUUAUUGCAACUGAAGAUAGUUUGGCUACUUUGUCUUCUUGAAUCACGAUGAUUUGAUAUCGUAGCACCGAAUCUUGAACAUCCUUGCAUUGAAAGUCGUCACUGGAAUCAACGAGUAAAUAAAACUUGUGGCAAAACCUUGAAAACUUUGCACCUCGUCGACGUGAGUGUUACUCACAUAUAGCUGGAAGACCUUCUUUUCCGUCAACCAAACCUUGAAUAUUUGUACUUAUCUAGUUACUUUAAAUUGCAUACAAU